UACGGGGGGAGCAAGCGUUGUCCGGAAUUAUUGGGCGUAAAGAGCUUGUAGGCGGUCUGUCGCGUCUGCUGUGAAAAUCCGGGGCUCAACCCCGGACUUGCAGUGGGUACGGGCAGACUAGAGUGUGGUAGGGGAGACUGGAAUUCCUGGUGUAGCGGUGAAAUGCGCAGAUAUCAGGAGGAACACCGAUGGCGAAGGCAGGUCUCUGGGCCAUAACUGACGCUGAGAAGCGAAAGCAUGGGGAGCGAACAGG
rnacentral:rRNA from 1 species